rnacentral:lncRNA from 1 species
UCAGCUUCCACAUCAGCAAAUGAACUCACUCCUGUAUUUUUUUUUUUUUUUUUGGCGAGAGAACUCACUCCUGAUUGGCACACAGAAUUAUUCCCAGCUUCUGAUUGAUUCUGCUGACUAAAGUAAUUAGCGGAGUCAGCAUUCAGUGCAGGAUCCAAGAAAUCACCAUUCCCUCUCAUAUCUACGCGCGCCAGCAUACGGGCAUUUCUCACGCGCGCCUUAGCUAGCUCCGUCCAGAAAUCUCCAUUCUCCGCCGCAGACGGUGCUGCAAAAUCAUUGAAAUCCAAUUUUGGAUCCACACCGACCCGCAUAUCAUUAUUAUAAAACUCAUCAGC